UAGGGAAUCUUCCACAAUGGGCGAAAGCCUGAUGGAGCAACGCCGCGUGUGUGAUGAAGGGUUUCGGGCUCGUAAAACACUGUUGUAAGAGAAGAAUGACAUUGAGAGUAACUGUUCAAUGUGUGACGGUAUCUUACCAGAAAGGAACGGCUAAAUACGUGCCAG
rnacentral:rRNA from 1 species